rnacentral:lncRNA from 1 species
GAAAAUUAAUAAUAAAUUUAAUUACGGUGAGCAAAUUUAAUUACGGUGGAUGGUAGGAACUACAAUGACCCAAAGUGAUUUUUUUUAAUUUAAUUUGAACAAAUAUAUUCUGUAAUAGCCAAUUUUGACCCAUGUCUAUAAAAUAAAAUAAACCAAAAAUAAGUGAAAAUCCAAAUGUUUAUUAACAGUCCCUUUAUACAUUAAAAUGGCCCAAAUCAAACAAUAGCCCAAAACCCAAAUCUAUCCUACCCAAUUUACAAGGCCCAAACUAAACCCUAGCCCACUAGCUAUCAACAUUUUCAGCAAACACAAAAAAACCCUAGCCACCAAGCCUUCAGCCGCCACAUGCCACCACUGUCUGCUGCCUCCACGCGCGCUGCACUCCUCGUCACAUGCGUCUGACCGCUCACGUCACCUGCAAAACAAAACCAACAAGCAAGCAAAAGAAAGCAACGAACAAGAAGACAAAAACAAUAGCAAACAACAAACAAAAAACAAGAAAAAACAGACAAGAAAUAGAAACAAAACGAGCGUGUAUUUGGCUAUAAAGGCCAUGUUCGAUCACUUUGUAUUUUUUUUGACACGCACAUUUAAGAAAUCAAAGAGCAAAAACAAGAAAAAGGAGGAUCUUUUUACUUUCAAAUUUUCGUUUUAUUUUAUUUUAUUUUUGCUUUUGAACAAAAAAUGGAAAGGAAGAACCUUACUGGAGAACCCACGGUUACGUCGUCGAAGGACUCUUCUCCUUCGUCUAGAUCAGAUCUAAAAGUGAGGGGGAGAGGCCUUUUCUUUCGUUUUUCUUCGGAUUUGGAGAGCCUCGCUUUGGAUCCGUUUGAAGCAGGUUAAAAGCCCCUUUUUACGCAUCACCGGCCACCGGAUACGGUGGUGGUACGGUGGUGCGGCGAAGAAACCCGAUUGUUGGCCAUGGGGAAGAGAGGGGAGAGAUUAAAGGUUCCUUUAGUUUUUUUUUAAUAAAAAGAGGGCAGAAAUGAGGAUUUUAAAAAAAAAGAGGGUUUAAAUACAAUGUCAAAACGACGUAGUUUCAGACUCCCCCCAUACGCUCCAAACGGCGUCGUUUUUGGGGGAGAAACCCGUUCAACCAAACCCAUACCCAGGGGGAUCACGUGUUUCCAAAUCUUGGGCUCCAUUUUUGCAGCACAUAUCGAUUCGGUCCUGUGCCCAUUUUCUUUUAUUUUAAUUUGCCCUGCACUUUGGUUUUUGAUGCAUUUUGGUCCUCUGACCAGUUUCGAAGUAGGAGUACGUGAAACGACGCAGUUUGAGAUUUGGGAUUAUUUUCCAUUUGGCCCUCGUGAUUUUGCGCAAGUUUCAUUUAGGCCCUGAUCUUCUUUUUUAAAUUUGUACCUCUAAUUCUUUCUUGAUUUCGAUUCAAUCCUUGAUCCUUAUACUUUAAAUUGUUUUAUUUUUGCUUAUUUCAAGUUUGUUUUUUUUUUCUUUUUCUUCGCACAUAUUAAUUAUUUUAAAUAUAUAUAUAUUAAUCUAUUUUAGUUUCACUUUUUAUAAACUAUUUGUAUUUUUAAAUUUCUUUUUCUUGCAUAUUUAUUUUAAGCUUUUCACGUGAUAUUUUAAAUUGUUUUUUAAGUUAUUUAUUUUAAAUGCUUUAUAUAUUAUUUUAUUUUAUGAUAAAAAUAUUAUAUGUUAAUUAUUAUAAAACGUCUUAUAUUCUCUACUUUAAAUUACCUUUUUUAUUUUAAAAUCGUUUUAUGUAUUAUUUAUUUAAGACUGUUUUAUUGUUUUAAAUUAUUUUAUAUACCUUUUUAAACUCAAUUUAUUUAUUUUAAAAUAUUCUAUUUAUUAUUCAUUAUGAGAUUUUUUUUUCAUAUUACCUAUUUUAUACUUUUUUAUAUAUAUGUACAUUAUUUGUUCUAAAAUUUAUAUAUAUAUAUCAUCUUUUCUUAUAUUUUUUUGUAUUUUUAAGACUUUUGCAAUUAGGUCCAAUCAUCUAAUUCAUUAGUUUUUGAUUUGGUGGGUGAAAUUGGAAGUUACCCUGGCUGAGUAACGGCAGUAUAUGAUGAAUUAUUAUGAAAUUGAAGUUCUAAUUUCAUAUUAAGGUUGUUUUAUUAAGUCAUUUUGAUAGAAAAUGGUAUUUAGGACCUAAUUGUGAAAAAAUUAUGAAUUAGAUGUUGGUGUUGAAAUUCAGAAUAUCAAAGGUUGUGAAAUAGUUUAUAAUGAUAAAAUAAAAGUGUUAAUUGAGAAAAGAAUUAGUUCAAUUGAUGGGUGAAUUGAGCAGGGACUAAAUUGUAAAAACUAUAAAUUUUGGGGUAAAAGUACAAUUUCAAAAUUUGAACAGCAUAAAUUGUGAAGUGAAAUAGAAAUCAAAUAAAUGCUAAUGAGUAGAAAUAUUUUAUAUUAUAGAUCAAGAAUCCAAAGAAGAACGAGGAAAAGAAAAAGUUGCGGAAUAGUCCCUAAAUUUCAAUAUCUUCUACAAAUCAGCCAAGUAAGUUAAUAUGUAAAUGUUGGUAAUAUAGUUAUUAUUUUAAAUGUUUUUAUGUUAUUUAAAUGAUAUGAUAAUUAUUAUGAAAUACUAUACUCGUGAUAAUUGUUUGAUAAUAUGUCAAAUUAUGUGAUAUACUUGGAAAAUGUGAAAUACUACCGAGUAUUGGUAUUGGCAUUCCGUAGAAGAUGGUUGAGACACAUGAUUGGGAAAAAGGUCCCGUUGAACCUUAGGAAUAGAUUAGGAUACAAGUGACAUGUCACUAGGAUAUUUGGGCAUCUGAACUCGUUGAGUUAUAUAUAUAUGUAUAUAUAUAUUUAUAUAUAUCAUCUUUUCUUAAAUUGUUUUAUAUAUUAUUGAUUUUAAAAAUUCAUUUUUUACAUUAUUUAUUUUAAACUCAUUUAUCAUCAUUCUAAAAUUUGUUUACAUUUUAUUUAUUUUAAUUUGCUUUAUACCUUUGUAUCAUUUAAUUCAUCGGCCUUUAUUUAUCGAUGUUAUUAUUUGAAUGUUGUAUGACCAUUGUCAUUGUGUGUAUUUUAAUUCGUUUUUUUCGUAUUUUUAUAUUAUUUUUAUUCAUUCGUAUAAUGUCGUGUUCAUGUAUCAUUGCUCUAGGCUCAUUACUAUAUUUUUAUUUCAUAUCAUCGUCUUAUGAAUCAAGCCUCGUUGCAUUUAUCCAAUAAAUUAUUGUAUCUUAAUCCAAACAAACAAUGUACGUCGUUUAAAUAUUGAAUUCGCUAUUAUUCAAAACAAAAAUUUCAAAACAAUGCGAUGUUUCGCAUUUUGGAACAUCGAGGAAUUGUGCCCUAACUUACGGGGUUUCGAUUUUCUCGUUGAUUCUAGAUUACCAAAUAUCCUUUUGAGUUUUAAAAUAUACGGAUUUCCAAUUAAAAUUAAAAAUAAACUUGCACUCGGGAGUUCAUGGUAUUGUGUCCUAACUUACGGGAUGUGAUAAUCCGAUAUCUGGAGAUAAGGAAAUCUUUAACAAUCGUAUUGGUCUAAUUCAAGCAUUUUUUAAAGAAAAAAUCAACAUUAAUAAAAAAGGAUCACAUUUUAAAUCCGUUCCCGAUUUUUUUCAACUUUCGACAUUGAGACUUUAACUAAUCAAUUUGGUACCAAUUUUUGGGCAUGUUGAGGGUGCUAAUCCUUCCUCAUACAUAACCGACUCCCGAACUCAGUCUUUCGAGUUUCGUAGACCAAAAACACCGUUUUAGUAAACUAAAAUGUUUUAUUAAAACAAAGGUGAUCCGAUAACACCUAAUAAAGAUCGGUGGCGACUCCCAUUUUAAUUUUCGCUUUCAAUCAAAGUCGAUUCCUGUUUUUUCAAAAAAAUGGUUUCGACAGCUUGGCGACUCCGCUGGGGACUUUGAGAGUCGAGCCACAAAUUGAUUAAUUUUUGUCUUUUGUCGAAAAUUGAAAAUCUGUUUUAAAUUUACGAUUACUGCAUUACAUGUUGUAUGUUAUUUUCAUGGUUCAGUUCAUAAUAUACUUGCUUCAAGUGGUUUAAUUCUGUGAUAUAUUGUUGCAUAUCGCAUUGCAUGAAUUGGUCAAUUUUACCCCGUAAGUAGGAGUGAGAAUCUAUUCCUUUGUGAGGUUUUCACCUCCGUAUAGGAUAGUGGAUCGCUCUGGGAUACAUCCGUACCUAUGUCUUCGUGAGGUUUUCAUCUCCGUAUAGCCGUAGGGAAAUGUAUUCCCCUGAACUGAACACUAUCCGUAUGAGCCUAUAACGGGUGAGGAUCGAGGAAUCUGCUGGUUCAGGUACCCUUACUCUAGAACCGAACCACAUAUAGAGAGACCUAGGAGCCUACCCUAGGUAGAGCCACGCCAAACCCUGGUGGUCACCCAGAUAUGUAUUCUAUUUUGUUGUUUAUUUCUUCUGUACUGACGUAUUUUGUUUUGUUUUGUUUUGUCUAUGAUUACAUUGCAUUACAUCAUUAUAGAAAUGAGGUGUUGAUUCAUAUUCGAUUGCUAAAUAGAAGAGCUUGUCAUGGAAAAUAGAUUUCUUGAUAAAGUGGGUUAUAAUACGGUUGCCUGAAUAUGGUCCGAGUAAACACAACAAAAGAAGGCUGAUAGUCUGCAGAGUAAUACAAAACUUUGUUUCAUUGCUCGUGGAUUCAAGCCGACAAGGAUUAUUCGAUAGCCGUCUCGUCUUGACUUUCUUAAAGGAGCUGACGAGUAUCGCGGGGAUAAGUGAGCAAUGAGUCGCGGCCUGGAUCAAGCAAAAGGGAGUUAAUAGGGACAUCUUUUGGAAAAUUCACAAGACUCAACCGUGACAUUCGGAUAUGAAGAGGAAGAUAGAUGUUUUCGCCUGGAAUAUGAGGACAAUGUUGCAUAUGUAAUCCGUUUUAUGUAAAGGAAUUUAUUUUCUAGAAAAGUUGUUCUAAUGAAAUUGAAUUCAGAAUCAACGCCUCUCUUUCUUCUGCAUUCAUUCCAUGCAUUUGCAUUGCGUUGCAUCAUUUACAUUAGACUUUCACUAAAGGACCCUAAUUAGGUAAAAUUAUUUCAGUUAAUCUGGAAACCAACAAGACUCAACCAACCGGAUACCACUAUAAUACCCGUUGCAAAACCAAAGCAAUGGAUCAGAUAUUAGAAAGAUUAGAACAAAUGCAAAGGGAUAUGCAAGAGCAAUUACAAGCACAGAUGCAAGAGCAACUGGCUAAAAUACAACAAGAUAUGAGGGAAAAAAUGGAAGAAUCCCAAAAUAAUAUGAUAGGCCAGUUGGCGCAGUUGCUGGCUAGAGAACGCGACAAAGGGAAGAGCACUAUGGGGAACGAUAAUGAAGACCUUGUAUAUCCUCUGGGCUUUGCUCCGAUAAACACUCAACCACAACCGGAGGUGCACCCACGAGGGGUACCAGUCACUAUUAGGCCUCAGCAAUACCAGGACGGUGCCUCGGUACCAAUGAACUUCUCAACAGGCUCGGGCUCUAAUCCGGGGGAUAAUCCAUCCAAUCCCGUUGUCCUUAACCUUGAUAACGUGGCAGAAUUGGAAAAGGCAGGAGUAGAUCUGCCAAAGCAACUUAAAGACCGCUGGAAGUGGCUAGAGGAGAAAUUCAAAGCAAUGGAGGCUGCUGAUUACCAUUGCGGGAUCGACGCUAAGGACUUAAGCUUGGUCCCAGAUCUGGUACUCCCACCAAAGUUCAAGACUCCAGAUUUUGAAAAGUAUAAUGGGACUAGCUGCCCUGAAGCUCACAUUACGAUGUUCUAUCAAUGGAUGACAGGAUACAUCAAUAAUGAUCAACUGUUAAUCCACUGCUUCCAAGAUAGUCUGAUCGGAUCAGCUGCCAAAUGGUACAAUCAACUGAGCCGUGCCAAAAUUCACUCAUGGAAAGACUUGGCACAAGCUUUCAUGAGGCAAUAUGGCCACGUGACAGACAUGGCGCCUGACAGAAUCAUAUUGUAGAAUAUGGAAAAGAAACAAAGUGAGAGCUUCAGACAAUAUGCCCAAAAAUGGAGAGAAAUAGCAACAUAAGUCCAGCCACCUCUUUCGGAGAAAGAAACCACGAUGCUUUUCAUCAACACUCUGAAAGCCCCGUUCAUUACCCAUAUGUUGGGAAGCGCUACCAUGAGGUUCUCAGAUAUAGUAAUGUCCGGUGAGAUGAUUGAAAACACAAUAAGGAGUAAGAGGAUAAACACGGGAGAAAACGCCAAAAGAUCAACCCCGAAGAAAAAUGAAAAUAAGGUGAAUAAUGUGGGAAAAGGGUUUCCAGAUCGGUCACUGGAAGCUAGCCGAGGGCGGUGACUACCAACUAUCAAAGUACCUCAAGACAAGACUCCAACUCGAGACCAAAUACAGAAAAACUCCAGUUCACACCCAUCCCGAUAACGUAUAAAGAGCUGUAUCAGAAUCUGUUUGAUGCGCAUGUGGUGUCCCCAUUCUACUCGGAACCCGUGCAACCUUUAUUCUUGAAAUGGUAUGUUGCGAAUACCCAAUGCGAGUAUCAUACAGGAAUAAUGGAGCACUCAAUCGAAAACUGCACUACGCUUAAAAAGUUGAUCGAAAGGCUUAUUAAAGUGGGAAUUGUGAAGUUCGAUGAUUCAUCAGAACCUAAUCGCUUUGACAAGAUAGUAAAUGCGAUAACUGAAGGAGGUGGCAAGAGAGUUGCAAUCCCUUAAAAAAGAAGCCUGGAGGAAAUAUCGAGGAAUCUAGACCUUAACGACGUAUCCGAAGAGAAAACCGAGGAAUAAAGGUUUCUAAGCCCUUGCAUACUUGGGAGUGUUUUGAACAAUGAGACUGUGGAAGAAAUUCCUGUAUUUUUUAGAGCUAAAUUUGGAGUAAUGUCCAAAACACGCCUAUUGCUCUAAGCCUAGGAGCAAUAAGAGGCAUUUUGUGAAUUGGGUUUAUGUCCAAAAUCUUUAUUUCAAUAAAAUGCAUCUUUGCUAUCAUUUUGAGCAAAUAUUCUUUUAUUUCAUUCAUAAUCAUACUAUACGGACAAUUAUUCUUAGAUUCUUUUGUUCUUUGGGCUUUUCUUCAAAUACUAUUUUAUUCUUCAUUCAUGACCACACCAUAAAAUAACUAUUUUUUGAUUCAUUUAUUCUUUGGAAUAUUCUUUCGUACCUACAAUAGGUCUCCAGAUAUCAACAAUAUGAGUGAUACUGCUAUUGACUCAGAAUCUCUUUUUGAACAAGAUAUGUGUCCGGAGAAACCUCUAGACUUUGAAGAUGACCGAGACUGUAGUUUAUCUCCUGGUUCGUUAAGGAUAGUAGAACAAGAUAAGAAACAGAUCCUACCUUUCAAAGAGUCAGUGAAAUCCAUGGCCUUCCUCUAUAUGGGCAUGAAUGUCAUUAAGGCCGAUCUCAGCAAAAGCUUCUAGCAAGUACUGAUUUUUCUAUGGAGUUGUCCGUUACAUCACUAAGCGGAUGGAAAUUGCUUCAUACACUAAUAUCAUAAAGUCAGCAUUCGUAAAAAAAAAGGAUCAUAUGUCGAUAUGGAACUCCAGAAAGAAUUGUAUCUGACAAUGUGCUGAACUUAAACCACAAUGUGAUAUCAAAAGUUUACAGCCAAAUCAAACGCCACUGUGUCGCUUAAAAGUGAACAGUGCGGUCGAUGCGACCAAUAAGAACAUCAAGAAGAUCAUGGAGAAAAUGACUAAGACCUACCAAGAUUGGACUAAGAAGUUGAACAUCGAUCAAAACCUUUACCGGGGUAAAUGACCCAAAAAAAGGUGAUGACGUGAGCUUACCAAAAAUGGUUCGCCCUAGAGAAAUCCAUGAUGGAAACCUAAUGUCAAAGAAGAUCAUGCCCAUACAAGAGGGCUUCAAAAGAAAGUGGAUGCCAAACUGGGAAAGAUAUUGUGUGGUAAAGAAUGCCUUAUCAGAAAAUCAUUAAUUGUUGACCAGGAGGGAUAACAAGGACUUUCCUAAUCCUUUGAGUUCAAAUCAAGAAAUACUUCGUAUAAUAAAAAAGAAAAAGAAGAAGAAGGAAAAAGAAAAAAAUGAGAGGCCAAGGCGAAAACUCGCAAAGGGCGCCUUGAGUCCAAAGGGAUUUGAGUUGAAAACCCGAAAAGGGCGGCUCAAAUUUGGAUCAAAGUGGGGCAUAUAGAAGUCUUGCUAUGCCUGAAUUAACAAUGAAGAAGUAUGGUACGUCUUGGGGCAUCGACAAAGUAGUCCGGAUCCCCUAAACACAUAUUGAAUUCAGAUGGUUCUCAAGAAGUUGGUACAGAGAACCUCAAGCUGCGAUAUUUGGGGCACCUAGAUUUCUAUUUUACCCACUUUGAAUUUGCUAUCUUUGAUUACAUUAUUCUUUUCAAGAUACAUCCUCAAUAAAUUUCAUUCCUAUUGCAUUGCUAUCUUUGAUUAACUUAUUCAUUUUGAGUUAAUUUCCUUCUUAUUGUAUUUGCAAUCUUUGAUUGAUUUAUUCAUUUCGAGUUUUGCUCUCAAUUAAUUUCCUUCUUGUCCAUUGUUACAAUCUUUUUCAAGCAUUUCGCAUUGAAAUAACGAUUAGUGGACUAAUAAUACUUUCAUAAAAGAAGUUUCGCAUAUUACUCUGAAAUUUUCUAAUUAGUAUGAGGACUUGAAACAGGUCCACUAUUCAGAACUAACCAAACCCAAGAGUUGGAAACAUUUGGGAAAGAAUAGCCCAAUUUGUGAUUACUUCUUCGGGUUUUUCGUCAAAAAUACCAGCUUGAACAAGAUGGCAGCAAUACGUCAGCGAUAAUGUCCUGAUGAACAACGAGCAAUGAUACAUUAAGCCUUUUAAAAAGGAUCAUCUUCAUUCCUGCAUUCAUAUAUCAUUCAUAACACAUCUAGUUAGGAGCAUUUGAUUCAUUUCGAUCAUAGCAUCCUAAUUAUUUGACAUAAGCAUCAUAUCUAGUUAGGGGAAUUUGAUUCAUUUCGAUCAUAGCAUCCUAAUUAUUUGACAUAAGUAUCACAUCUAGUUAGGAGCAUUUGAUUCAUUUCGAUCAUAGCAUCCUAAUUAUUUGGCAUAAGCAUAGAUACAUGAAACCGAUUCUACAGAUCAUGUCCCUAGAGGAUGGUGUAGCAACAUCGGUAAUUUUACAGAUCUUGCCUCCCUGAAGUUGCAGUGGAACAGAUCAAAGACGACGAAUCUUGUCUCUCUGAAGUUGCAGUGGAGCAGAUUUAAGCCACCAUCCUAUCUUCUUAAGCAGUAGUGGAGUAGGUUGAAGAUUGCGGAUCUUGUCUCUCUGAAGUUGCAGUGGAACAAAUCGAAGACGGCGAAUCUUAUCUCCCUAACCAGUAGUGGAGCAAAUUUAAGCCACCAUCCUAUCUUCCUAAGAAGUAGUGGAGUAGGCUAAAGAUUGUAGAUCUUGUCUCCCUGAAGUUGCAGUGGAGCAGAUUGAAGCCACUAACCUUAUCUUCCCGAAGUUGCAGUGGAGUAGGUUGAAGUUACAAGUCUUAUCUCCCUGAAGUUGUAGUGGAGUAGACUCAUGAUAGCGAAUCUUAUCUCUCUGAAUUUGCAGUAGAGAAGAUUAAAGCUAUAAAUCUUAUACCUCUAAAGUUGCAGUAGGUCGGAUCAAAUCUACCAUGACGAAUCUCAUCUCCCUAGAGUUGCAAAGGAGUAAAUUGAAGUUACAAAUCUUAUAUCCCUAAAGUUGCAGUGGAAUGGAUCGAAGAUAGCAAACCUUAUUCCCUUGAAGUUGUAGUGGGGCAGACUAAAAAUAGCAAAUCUUAUCUCUCUGAAGUUGCAGUAGAGUAGAUUAAAGCUAUAAAUCCUAUACCUCUGAAGUUGCAAUAGGUCAGAUCAAAUCUAUCAUGACAAAUCUUAUCUCCCUGAAGUUACAGUGAAGUAAAUUGAAGCCACUAAUCCUACACCCGUGAAAUUGUAGUGGGAUAGAUUAAGGUUAUCUUGGUAAACCUAAUCUCCCUGAAGUUACAGUGGAGUAGAUUGAAGACACAAACCUUGUUUCCCUGAAGUUGCAGUAGAACAGGUUGAAGUUGCAACGGAGUAGAUCGAAGCUACAAAUCUCUUCUCCAUGAAAUUACAUUGAAGCAAAUCGUGGCACUAAUUCCUAUACCCCUAAAGAUACAGUGGGAUGAAACGAGGCUAUUGGAAGAAAGGAAGCACCAAGAAGUCAAGACUCGACAAGACUAGGAAAAAUUAGCUCUUCUAAAGUCUUUGGUCCAUUCUCGUUACACGACAACAAGCAAAGAUAGGCAGCUGUAAUAGCCAAUUUUGACCCAUGUUUAUAAAAUAAAAUAAACCAAAAAUAAGUGAAAAUCCAAAUAUUUAUUAACAGUCCCUUUAUACAUUAAAAUGGCCCAAAUCAAACAAUAGCCCAAAACCCAAAUCUAUCCUACCCAAUUUACAAGGCCCAAACUAAAACCUAGCCUACUAGCUAUCAACAUUUUCAGCAAACACAAAAAAACCCUAGCCACCAAGCCUUCAGCCGCCGCAUGCCACCACUGACUGUUGCCUCCAUGCGCGCUGCACGACUCCUCGUACGCGUCUGACCGCUCAAGUCACCUACAAAACAAAACCAACAAGCUAUAAGCAACGAACAAGAAGACAAAAAUAAUAGCAAACAACAAAGAAAAACAAUGAAGAAACAGACAAGAAAUAGAAACAAAACGAGCGUAUAUUUGGCUAUAAAUGUUGAAAUAUGUAUAUAUUUUAAAUUUAUUUAGGUAAAUAAAUCUUAUUUGGGUAGAUAAGUUUUAUUUAUAUUCUAGAAAUUUUUUUAUUUUAUCUUUUAGUAGUUUACUAGAAUAAGGGAACUAUUUUCUUUUUAUGUUUUAGUAGUUUAUUAGAAUAAUGGAACUAUUUUCCUAAUUAGGAUUAGGACUCUUUUCUCUAUUUAAGUUCAAUUCUUUAAUUAAUAAGGAAAGUACAAUUUUGUUCAAAGCUCUCUUGAAAUCUUUCAUGGUAUCAGAGCUAGGUUAAAAUCUCUAGUAACAUCAUGGUUAAAACAGCCUUCACUGGAGAUAAGAGAUCCAGCAAUCAAACAGAGGAAGAAAGUUCUACAGUUGAAACAACUAUCGAGAGUACAAUGACUCAAGGGACAGAGGCGUCUCACCUUUCUUUUCAACUGACAUCUCACAAGUUGAAUGGCGAGAAUUAUCUAGAAUGGUCGCAAUCCGUAAAAUUAGCAAUUGAUGGGCGCGGCAAGCUAGGUCAUUUAAAUGGAGAAGUUGAGCAACCACGGGUGGGCGAUCCAAAGAUGAGCAAGUGGAGGUCAGAAAAUUCUAUGAUAAUUGCAUGGCUUAUUAAUUCCAUGGAAGCAUCCGUAGGUAAACCUUUUCUUUUUCUCCCAACUGCUAAAGAUGUUUGGGACGCUGUGAAAGACACCUAUUCAGAUUUAGAAAACGCUUCACAGAUUUUUGAGUUAAAAAUAAAACUGUGGAAAGCUAGGCAAGGGGAAAAAGAAGUUACUCUUUAUUAUAAUGAGAUUAUGUCUCUUUGGCAAGAACUGGAUCAGUGUUAUAAUGAUGAAUGAGAAUGUCCCGGAGAUGGUGUAAAAGCUAUAAAAAAAGAAGAGAAUGAAAUAGCUUAUUUGUUUCUAGCUGGAUUAAAUAAAGAAUUUGAUGAAGUGAGAUCUUAGAUCCUAAGAAAAAAACAGCUUCCAAAACUUCGUGAGAUUUUUUCUGAGGUUAGAAGAGAGGAGACAAGGAGAAAAGUAAUGUUAAAGCCAAGGUUUGAAGCUAAUGAUGAUAAUUCUGGUCUUGUAAAUAUUAAAAGUAAUGAUGAUAGUGAAAAAAAAAGAAAGAAAAAACCUUGGUGCAAUCACUGCAAAAAAUAUUGACACACUCGUGAAACGUGUUGGAAGCUCUAUGGAAAGCCGACAAAUGUAAGGAAAAAGAGUGGCAAUGGUCGUUGUUCACAAUCAGGGGAUAGCAGAGCUUUCCAAACAACUAAUGGAAAUUAUGAGGGCCAAAAUUCUCUGGAAGGGUCUCCAUUCACUAAGGAACAAUUAGAGCAUCUACACAAGUUUUUUCAAUCACCAUAAUUUCGGAUGAAUUCUUCUAUUCCUAACUUAUCCAAUAAUCCUUCUUCCUCUGUUGCCCAAUCAGGUACUGAUUUUUCUAUUUUUUUUAGUGUCAAGCCUUGUAAUACAAACACAUGGAUCAUUGAUUCUGGAGCUAGUGAUCACAUGACUAGCAGUCAUUUUCUUUUUUCAACUUACACACCUUGCGCGGGAAACAAAAAGAUCAAAGUAGCAGAUGGGUCCUUCUCGGCAAUAGCCGGGAAAGGCACUGUUAAAAUUUCAUCUUCCUUGGUUUUACAUGAUGUUUUACAUGUACCAAAUCUAGCUUGUAAUCUCAUAUCGGUCAGUAAAUUAUCUCAGUCCUCAAAUUGCCAUGCUAUAUUUGACUCCUCUAUGUGUAAGUUUCAGGACAUGAUCUCGGGGAGGAUGAUUGGCAAUGUUAAAGAAUUUGGUGGAAUUUACUUUCUUGAAGACGACCAUCUAAGUCAACCAACAAUUACUUUAUGUUUAAAUUCUGUUUCUGACUUUGAUAAGAUUAUGAUUUGGCAUUAUAGGCUUGGACAUCCUAAUUUUUAUUAUUUAAGAUAUUUGUUACCUAAUCUAUUCAAAAAUAAAAGUCCUUCUUCAUAUCAUUGUGAAUUUUGUGAAUUGGCUAAACAUCAUCGGUCAUUCUUUCCACCUCAAAAAUAUAAAGCCUCCAAACCUUUUUCGUUAAUUCAUAGUGAUGUUUGGGGACCUUCAAGAGCUUCGACUUUUUCAGGAAAACGUUGGUUUGUCACAUUUAUUGAUGAUCAUACUCGACUUUGUUGGGCAUUUUUAUUAAAAGAUAAGUCUGAAGUUAAAAAUGUGUUUUAGUCUUUUUAUGCUAUGGUGAAAACACAAUUUGGUGUGAAAAUAGAAGUAUUUCGAACUGACAAUGGUGGGGAAUUUUUUAGCGACCAAUUAGGUGUUUUCUUAACCAAACAUGGAAUAGUCCACCAAAGUUCUUGUACAAAUAAACCACAACAAAAUGGGAUUGCAGAAAGGAAAAACCGACAUCUUUUGGAAGUAACUAGAGCCUUGAUGUUCACUAGUCAAGUACCACGUUAUCUUUGGGGCGAAGCCUUGUUUGUAAUAUCCUGAUUUUGGGCCUAGUCGGAAUAGUGGUUUCGUGACCAAAAAAUCUGAGAUAGAAAUAAUUAUUUUAUGAUUAUUUUGUGGUCUAUGAUAUGAUUGCAUGAUUGUGUGAAAAUUUCGUGAAGAAAUUUUAUGCAUAAAGUGCUUAAAUUGAAAUUAGGGACUAAAUCGAAUAAUUUGCAAAACUUGCAUUCUAGAAGUUUCUAGUAUGAAAUUGUUUUGAAAUAUUAAUUAGGAGGUCUUAAAUAGAAAUUUUACCAAUUUCUAAGUCUAUGGACAAAAAUUGGACAUGGAUGGAAUUUUUGGAAAGUUUAGUAGUGAGGGCAUUUUGGUCAUUUAGGGGUAAAAUGAAUUAAAAUACAAAAUAAAAAGCCAAUUUUGCUCAUCUUCAACCCCAUGGCCGAAUAUAGCAAGGAGAAACCAUGGCUAGGGUUUUUCAAGCUUCCAAGCUCGAUUGUAAGUCCAUUCUAGCCUCGUUUUUAAUGAUUUUUACGUUUUUGGAGUCCCGGUAGCUCGAUUAAGCUUAUGCUAGCAAUAAUUCAACUUAGGGAUCAUAUUUGGAAAAAUACCCAUAGGUGAAAUUUGUGUAUUUUGAUGUUUUAUGAUCGAAUAUGAGGUUUUAAAUUAUGUUAGACAACUUGUACUACUCGGUUUUAAGCGAAAACGAGCAAAAGGGCUUAAUCGGUAAAAAUACCUAAUAGUCAUAAGUACAUGUUAGAGUGAGAAUUUGAUGUUGUCAUAGAAGGUAAAAAUUAUCAGCAUGUCAUUAAACAUAAUAAAAUAGGCUGAAGUUUAAUUUACGAGCUUUGGGGCAAAAGUGUAAAUAUGCAAAAGUUUAAGGGGCAACAUUGUAAUUUUUCCAAAAUAUGAUUUUGGGUCAAUUUGAAUAAUGUGAGUCCUAAUUAGACUAUAUUUUAAAUGAUAGAGCAAGGAAAACUGAAAUUCAGGCUAAAAUGGGGAAAAUACCAAGUUGUGGACGAAAUGGUAAAAGUAGCCAUUUUCGCAUACGAGGUAAGUUCAUAUGUAAAUGUUGGUAACGUAGUUAUUAUUUUAAAUGUUUUAAUGUUAUUUAAAUGAUAUGAUAAUUAUUAUGAAAUAUCAUACUCGUGACAAUUGUUUGAUAAUAUGUCAAAUUAUGUGAUAUACUUGGAAAAUCUGAAAUACUACCGAGUAUCGGUAUCGGCAUUCCAUAGAAGAUGGUUGAGACACAUGGUUGGGAAAACGGUCCCGUUGAACCUUAGGAAUGGAUUAGGAUACAAGUAACAUGUCACUGGGAUAUUUGGGCAUCCGAACUCGUUGAGUUGAGUCCGAGUUCACUUAUGGAUGCGAAUGUCCGAACUCGUUGAGUUGAGUCCGAGUUCGAGAGAUGUAACUAGGCAUCCGAGCUCGUUGAGUUGAGUCCGAGCUCACUUAUGGAUGCGAACGCCUGAGCUCGUUGAGUUGAGUCCGAGUUCGCUUAUGGGCAGGUUACAUGGUAGCUUGGCUACAUAUGUGGCACUUAUGUGCAAACUUUCCAUGUAUCCGAAUUAUAUUCCGAUGUGUUCAACGGGUAAAGUUCUACUCAAAUGGAGGAAUACUCAAGAUGAAAAGGACGUAUUGGUAAGUGUUGUGAAAUGAAUACUUUGAACAGGUAUGUACUUAACCCUCGGGUUGAAAAAUCGAUAUAACAACAAUAUGGUAAGAUGAUAAAUAAAAAUAUGAUAUGAAUGUCUUGGUGACGAUUAUGCAAAUGAUGUUUUAUGUCUGCUUAUAUGGUUAUUUUACUUGCUAUUUGCAUGUGAACUUACUAAGAAUUUAUGCUUACUCCCUCCUUUUCAUUCCUUGUAGUGUUGACAAGCCAGCUCGGAAAUCGGGAACGGUCGGAGGCUCGCUCACACUAUCUGUACACCAUCUUGGCAUGAUGGCUUGUAUAUUUUGAGUAUGGCAUGUAUAGCAUUAUAAUCAUUUUGUAUAUAUGGUCUUAUGAUAUGGUUAUUGAGUGGUAUGGAAAUGCUUGGUAAUGACUAGCCAUUGGAAUGGCUAAUCAUGAUCAUAUUUGGUGUUAUGUAUGCUAAAUUGCUAGCUAAUCCAUGGAAACCAUGAAAUAGGUAAAAUUUACCAUAAAAUAGAUUCAGACAGCAGCAGUGACGUGAGUUUAAAAAAUAAUUAAAAAUAGUAGGGAUACAAUUAGAUGAUGAAUAAAAUAUUGAAUUGAAGAAUUAUGAGUCUAUUUUCGUAUGGAUUGAACAAAACAGGUAUAUGAAUUAUAUUUUAUGAGAUAUUUAAUUUUUGUGAAACAGGGCUAGAGCGAUUUCUGGAUCCCCUGUUCUGAAUUUGGAAAUUCACCAUAUAUUUUUCAAAGAUAAUUAGAAGUCAUGAUUUACAUGUACAGAUUCCUUAUUGAGUCUAGUUUUAUUAGAAACAAACGGCAUAGUCAUUGAAACUCUGUACAGGGAGAUAUCUGAUUCGUAAUACACAGAGGUCAGAGCAGUCGAACCCUGAAACAAGGGAGACUUUAACUAAUAAACUGUACUAAUUUGCUCAACCAAAAAUUCUAGAAAAAAAUUAGUAAAUAGAUAUAUGAGUCUAGUUUCAGGGAAAAUUUACGGAAUUGGAUUUUGAGUUUUGGAACUCGAGAUAUGAAUUUUUAAGCAACUGUGAUGCAGAUUGCUAGCUUGACUGAAAAUUUUAAAAAAUAAAUUGUUUGAGCUGUUUAAGUAAUGAAUUAAGUCUGUUAACACCUCGUGUUCGACUCCGGCGACGUUCUCGGGUACGGGGCGUUACAUUGUUAAUAGCUACAUAUCUUAUUAAUAGAAUGCCCAGUAAAACUCUAAAUUAUAGAACUCCUUUUAGUCUCUUUAAAGAUAACUUUCCUAAUUCUAAAUUGAUUUCAGAUUUAUCCUUCCGAGUUUUUGGGUGUAGUGUUUUUGUUCAUCUUCACAACCAAGGUAAACUAGAUCCUAGAGCAAAAAAAUGUGUCUUUGUUGGUUAUGCUUCUAAUAAAAAGGGUUACAAAUGUUAUGAUCCAAUUGAUAGGAAGAUUAUAGUUACCAUGAAUGUCACAUUUGUUGAAACACAAUCUUAUUUUGAUUCUAAUCUUCAGGGAGGGAAUCAUACUAAGGAAGAUUCUAUAAUUGAUCAAGAAGAGACUAGGAAUAUAUAACAUAGGGAUUCUAAUAAUGGGGAAGGCGAAUUUAUAAUUAACACAAAAAUUAAUGAUGUUAAUGUUAACGAAAAGGAGGAUAAAGGUGUAGAGUCUGAUCAUGAAAAUAAAGAACAAACAAAGGAGUUAAUUGUUUACUCAAGAAGAAAUCAAAAUCAAGAAAGUAGAAUCCACCAGAUUCAUCACCAAGAAUCUGACUCGCAAGAUCCUGUCAAAAGUCCAGGUAAAGCUUAUAAUCCAGCCAAUGAAUUUUCUGAUUUAAAUAUUCCAAUUGCCAAAAGAAAAGGUGUUAGAAAUAUUGUCAAAUAUCCCAUGUCUAACUUUGUAUCCUAUAAAGCCUUAUCUUCGACAUUCUCAACCUUUGUUUCGUGUCUCGAUACUGUACAAAUGCCCAAAAAUGUGAAAGAUGCUUUACAGGUUCCUGAGUGGAAGGAGGCUAUUUUAGAGGAGAUGCACGCUCUUGAAAAAAUAGGUACAUGGGAAACAAUAGAAUUACCUAUAGGGAAAAAAACAGUGGGCUGUAAAUGGGUGUUCACAACCAAAUUCAAACCAGAUGGAUCUUUAGAUAGAUACAAAGCCCGGUUGGUAGCUAAAAGGUACACUCAAACAUACGAGAUAGAUUAUCUUGAAACGUUUGCUCCAGUGGCCAAAUUAAAUUUCGUCAGAAUUCUUUUAUCAAUUGCUGUUAAUCUUGAUUGGUCUUUACAGCAGCUAGAUGUAAAGAAUGCUUUCCUAAAUGGAAAACUUGAAGAAGAAGUUUAAAUGGAUCCUCCUUCAAGUUUUGAAGAAAAAUUUGGAACUCGAGUAUGUAAACUCAAGAAAUCUUUAUACGGUCUGAAGCAGUCUCCUCGAGCUUGGUUUGAACGAUUCACUCAAGUUGUUAAAAAACAAUGUUACUCACAAGGGCAAGCUGAUCACACAAUGUUCUAUCGACAUUCACAAAAAGGUAUAAUAGUUGUUAUUAUAGUUUAUGUCGAUGAUAUCAUUCUUACAGGAGAUGAUGUGGAUGAAAUAAGGCGUCUCAAGGAGCAUCUAGCAUUGGAGUUUGAGAUCAAAGACUUGGGUCCUUUGAAAUACUUUCUUGGAAUAGAAGUUGUUCGAUCAAAGAAGGGUCUUAUAGUCUCUCAGAAAAAUAUGUGAUUGAUCUUUUAAAAGAGGCUGGGAUGAGUGGCUGCCGCCCAGCUGACACACCAAUUGAUCCAAAUGUAAAAUUUGGAAAUAAAGAAGGUCGAUUAGUCGAUAAAGGGCAGUACCAAAGAUUAGUUGGUAAGUUAAUUUACUUAUCACAUACAAUGCCAGACAUGGCUUUUGUAGUGAGCUUAGUGAGUCAAUUUAUGCACUCCCCAAUGGAGGAACUUGAAGAAGCAGUGUUUCGAAUUCUAAGAUACUUAAAGAGUUCAUCGGGAAAGAGCUUAUUCUUCAAGAAAUCCGAACAAAGAGGAACUGAAGCUUAUACAGAUGCAGAUUGGGCAGGCUCAAUAACAGACAGAAGAUCUACAUCAGGAUACUGUACAUUUGUUUGGGGAAACCUUGUGACUUGGCGAAGCAAAAAACAAAGUGUUGUAGUAAGAAGUAGUGCAAAGGCUGAGUUUAGAUCAAUGGCUCAAGGAAUUUGUGAAAUGAUGUGGUUAAAAAAAAUUAUGGAAGACCUGAGGAAACCAAUAACUUCACCAAUGAAGUUGUACUGUGAUAGCAAAGCUGCCAUUAGUAUUGCUCACAACCCAGUCCAACAUGACAGAACUAAACAUGUUGAGAUUGAUAGACACUUUAUCAAGGAGAAGAUUGAAGAAGGCCAAGUGUGCAUGCCGUUUGUUCCUUCAAAACAAUAGAUAGCUGACAUCCUCACCAAAGGACUUUCUAAGACAAGCUUUGAUUUUUUUGUAAGCAAGUUGGGCAUGAUUGAUAUAUAUGCACCAAUUUGAGGGAGGGUGUUGAAAUAUGUAUAUAUUUUAAAUUUAUUUAGGUAGAUAAAUCUUAUUUGGGUAGAUAAGUUUUAUUCAUAUUCUAGAAAUUUUUUUAUUUUAUCUUUUAGUAGUUUACUAGAAUAAGGGAACUAUUUUCCUAAUUAUGAUUAGGACUCUUUUCUCUAUUUAAGUUCAAUUCUUUAGUUAAUAAGGAAAGUACAAUUUUAUUCAAAGCUCUCUUGAAAUCUUUCAAAGGCCAUGUUCGACCACUUUGUAUUUUUUUUGACACGCACAUUUAAGAAAUUAAAGAGCAAAAACAAGAAAAAGGUUGAUCUUUUUACUUUCAAAUUUUCGUUUUAUUUUAUUUUAUUUUUUCUUUUGAACAAAAAAUGGAAAGGAAGAACCUUACCGGAGAACCCACAGUCACGUCGUCGAAGGACUCUUCUCCUUUGUCUAGAUCGGAUCUAAAAGUGAGGGGGAGACGCCUUUUCUUUCGUUUUUCUUCGGAUUUGGAGAGCCUCGCUUUGGAUCCAUUUGAAGCAGGCUAAAAGCCCCUUUUUGCGCAUCACCGGCCACCGGAUACAGUGGUGUACGGUGGUGCGGCAAAGAAACCCGAUCGUCGGCCAUGGGGAAGAGAAGGGAGAGAUUAAAGGUUCCUUUAUUUUUUUUAAUAAAAAGAGGGCAGAAAUGAGGAUUUAAAAAAAAGAGGGUUUAAAUACAACGUCGAAACGACAUAGUUUCAGACUCCCCCCACGCGCUCCAAACGGCAUCGUUUUGGGGGAGAAACCUAUUCAACCCGACCCAUACCCAAGGGGAUCCGCGUGUUUUCAAAUCUUGGGCUAUUUGCGCGGAUAGCUCCUCCAUUUUUGCAGCGCAUAUCGAUUCGGUCCUGUGCCCAUUUUCUUUUAUUUUAAUUUGGCCCCGCACUUUGGUUUUUGAUGCAUUUUGGUCCUCUGGCCAGUUUCGAAGCAGGAGUACGUGAAACGACGCAGUUUGAGAUUUGGGAUUAUUUUCCAUUUGGC